CCAAGCAAACAUAACAUCUCCGUUACAAUUUUUAUUACUCACCAUCUCUCACCACUUACUACAUCAAUUAUUCAUCUCUUCAACAUUGUAACAAACGAACGAAAACAGACUCCUCAAAUUUCCCCCACUCAUUAUAUAUAUAUUCCAUUCCCAUCUUACAGUGUCGGCCUAUUCUACAAUCCAGCCCAACAAAUGGAACGACGGUUCCGGGAUGGAUCUGACGACGAAGGUGAGGUUCAAGAUUUUUCUGGAAAACUAUUUGGUAUGGAGUCGGGGUGGGUGCUGAUAUUGAAGUCAACGGAGAAGAGCUACAGCUCACUAAAAAGAGAUUAACAUGAAGAGAUCUGAUUUUUCUACAAGAUUAAGAGGAGGGAGGAGUAUCGUAUGUGUGAUUGGCGGAAAUACGGAUCAGUUGGUGCAACAUUGCUUAAGAUACAUCGAUAACCUCAACUCAGGAAACCUAUGUGAUUCAUGCAUCUACUGAGAGUCUCUUCUCAAGAGAUGUCAAAGGAGGUGAGAGGUAAAGCUUUUGGUGUCUUCUCUGUUCAUAACCCGUCCCAGCAAAGGCAAUCAUCAGAAAACAAAGAUGAAGAACGAUGAGAUAAAGAACGAUGAGAAAACACAUAGUCCUAGGGAAAAAGGAGAAUAAGGUUGGUGAGGGGAGAAAGAAAGAUAAAAGUAGAAGAUGAAAUUGUUUUGGAGAUCCUUCAGUGACAAGUUUGGAAGCAGUCUUCAAAAGUUCUUAACGGAAGAAAAAUGUCUCCUCCCAAUCGUUAAUCUUGGCGUUGCUUCAUUAUAGCUGACUCCGAUUUAUAGUAUCUAUGUUUUUCAAUCACAGAUUUCCUAUUCUCAAUUCUUUUUUAAACUACCGUUAGAAGUUCAGAUGAU